rnacentral:rRNA from 1 species
UUAAGUGAUUAAGGGCGCACGGUGGAUGCCGUGGCACUAGAAGCCGAUGAGGGACGUUACUAACGACGAUAUGCUUUGGGGAGCUGUAAGUAAGCUUUGAUCCAGAGAUUUCCGAAUGGGGAAACCCAGCAUGAGUUAUGUCAUGUUAUCGAUAUGUGAAUACAUAGCAUAUCAGAAGGCACACCCGGAGAACUGAAACAUCUUAGUACCCGGAGGAAGAGAAAGAAAAUUCGAUUCCCUUAGUAGCGGCGAGCGAAACGGGAAGAGCCCAAACCAACAAGCUUGCUUGUUGGGGUUGUAGGACACUCUAUACGGAGUUACAAAGGACGACAUUAGACGAAUCAUCUGGAAAGAUGAAUCAAAGAAGGUAAUAAUCCUGUAGUCGAAAAUGUUGUCUCUCUUGAGUGGAUCCUGAGUACGACGGAGCACGUGAAAUUCCGUCGGAAUCUGGGAGGACCAUCUCCUAAGGCUAAAUACUCUCUAGUGACCGAUAGUGAACCAGUACCGUGAGGGAAAGGUGAAAAGCACCCCGGAAGGGGAGUGAAAUAGAACCUGAAACCGUGUGCUUACAAGUAGUCAGAGCCCGUUAAUGGGUGAUGGCGUGCCUUUUGUAGAAUGAACCGGCGAGUUACGAUUUGAUGCAAGGUUAAGCAGUAAAUGUGGAGCCGUAGCGAAAGCGAGUCUGAAUAGGGCGUUUAGUAUUUGGUCGUAGACCCGAAACCAGGUGAUCUACCCUUGGUCAGGUUGAAGUUCAGGUAACACUGAAUGGAGGACCGAACCGACUUACGUUGAAAAGUGAGCGGAUGAACUGAGGGUAGCGGAGAAAUUCCAAUCGAACCUGGAGAUAGCUGGUUCUCUCCGAAAUAGCUUUAGGGCUAGCCUCAAGUGAUGAUUAUUGGAGGUAGAGCACUGUUUGGACGAGGGGCCCCUCUCGGGUUACCGAAUUCAGACAAACUCCGAAUGCCAAUUAAUUUAACUUGGGAGUCAGAACAUGGGUGAUAAGGUCCGUGUUCGAAAGGGAAACAGCCCAGACCACCAGCUAAGGUCCCAAAAUAUAUGUUAAGUGGAAAAGGAUGUGGCGUUGCCCAGACAACUAGGAUGUUGGCUUAGAAGCAGCCAUCAUUUAAAGAGUGCGUAAUAGCUCACUAGUCGAGUGACACUGCGCCGAAAAUGUACCGGGGCUAAACAUAUUACCGAAGCUGUGGAUUGUCCUUUGGACAAUGGUAGGAGAGCGUUCUAAGGGCGUUGAAGCAUGAUCGUAAGGACAUGUGGAGCGCUUAGAAGUGAGAAUGCCGGUGUGAGUAGCGAAAGACGGGUGAGAAUCCCGUCCACCGAUUGACUAAGGUUUCCAGAGGAAGGCUCGUCCGCUCUGGGUUAGUCGGGUCCUAAGCUGAGGCCGACAGGCGUAGGCGAUGGAUAACAGGUUGAUAUUCCUGUACCACCUAUAAUCGUUUUAAUCGAUGGGGGGACGCAGUAGGAUAGGCGAAGCGUGCGAUUGGAUUGCACGUCUAAGCAGUAAGGCUGAGUAUUAGGCAAAUCCGGUACUCGUUAAGGCUGAGCUGUGAUGGGGAGAAGACAUUGUGUCUUCGAGUCGUUGAUUUCACACUGCCGAGAAAAGCCUCUAGAUAGAAAAUAGGUGCCCGUACCGCAAACCGACACAGGUAGUCAAGAUGAGAAUUCUAAGGUGAGCGAGCGAACUCUCGUUAAGGAACUCGGCAAAAUGACCCCGUAACUUCGGGAGAAGGGGUGCUCUUUAGGGUUAACGCCCAGAAGAGCCGCAGUGAAUAGGCCCAAGCGACUGUUUAUCAAAAACACAGGUCUCUGCUAAACCGUAAGGUGAUGUAUAGGGGCUGACGCCUGCCCGGUGCUGGAAGGUUAAGAGGAGUGGUUAGCUUCUGCGAAGCUACGAAUCGAAGCCCCAGUAAACGGCGGCCGUAACUAUAACGGUCCUAAGGUAGCGAAAUUCCUUGUCGGGUAAGUUCCGACCCGCACGAAAGGCGUAACGAUUUGGGCACUGUCUCAACGAGAGACUCGGUGAAAUCAUAGUACCUGUGAAGAUGCAGGUUACCCGCGACAGGACGGAAAGACCCCGUGGAGCUUUACUGUAGCCUGAUAUUGAAAUUCGGCACAGCUUGUACAGGAUAGGUAGGAGCCUUUGAAACGUGAGCGCUAGCUUACGUGGAGGCGCUGGUGGGAUACUACCCUAGCUGUGUUGGCUUUCUAACCCGCACCACUUAUCGUGGUGGGAGACAGUGUCAGGCGGGCAGUUUGACUGGGGCGGUCGCCUCCUAAAAGGUAACGGAGGCGCUCAAAGGUUCCCUCAGAAUGGUUGGAAAUCAUUCAUAGAGUGUAAAGGCAUAAGGGAGCUUGACUGCGAGACCUACAAGUCGAGCAGGGUCGAAAGACGGACUUAGUGAUCCGGUGGUUCCGCAUGGAAGGGCCAUCGCUCAACGGAUAAAAGCUACCCCGGGGAUAACAGGCUUAUCUCCCCCAAGAGUUCACAUCGACGGGGAGGUUUGGCACCUCGAUGUCGGCUCAUCGCAUCCUGGGGCUGUAGUCGGUCCCAAGGGUUGGGCUGUUCGCCCAUUAAAGCGGUACGCGAGCUGGGUUCAGAACGUCGUGAGACAGUUCGGUCCCUAUCCGUCGUGGGCGUAGGAAAUUUGAGAGGAGCUGUCCUUAGUACGAGAGGACCGGGAUGGACAUACCUCUGGUGUACCAGUUGUCGUGCCAACGGCAUAGCUGGGUAGCUAUGUGUGGACGGGAUAAGUGCUGAAAGCAUCUAAGCAUGAAGCCCCCCUCAAGAUGAGAUUUCCCAACUUCGGUUAUAAGAUCCCUCAAAGAUGAUGAGGUUAAUAGGUUCGAGGUGGAAGCAUGGUGACAUGUGGAGCUGACGAAUACUAAUCGAUCGAAGACUUAAUCAA